GCAGGGGUUCCCUAGCCUGGUAAGGGGCUAGCCUGCUAAGCUAGUGGCGUUAUGCGCCUCGCGGGUUCAAAUCCCGCCCCCUGCG
rnacentral:tRNA from 1 species